GACGAACGUUGGCGGCGUGCUUAAUACAUGCAAGUCAACUGAAGCAGUGGUAGCAAUAUCGCUGUGGAGGUGGCGCACGGGUGAGUAACACGUAGGUAAUCUGCCUCCAGGUCUGGCAUAACUCCGGGAAACCGGGGCUAAUAGCAGAUGAUGCAGCGGCUCGACAUCGAGACAGUUGUUAAAGCUAUGGCGCCUGAAGAUGAGCCUGCGUCUGAUUAGCUAGUUGGCGGGGUAACGGCCCACCAAGGCAACGAUCAGUAGCUGGUCUGAGAGGAUGAUCAGCCACGCUGGAACUGAGACACGGUCCAGACUCCUACGGGAGGCAGCAGUAAGGAAUAUUGCUCAAUGGGAGAAAUCCUGAAGCAGCAACGCCGCGUGAGGGACGAAGGGCUUUUGCUUGUAAACCUCUGUAGUGAGAGAAAAAAAUCCCAAUCUUUGGGACAUGAUGGUAUCUCAAAAGUAAGCCCCGGCUAACUACGUG
rnacentral:rRNA from 1 species